CCUACGGGAGGCAGCAGUGGGGAAUAUUGCGCAAUGGGCGAAAGCCUGACGCAGCGACGCCGCGUGAGGGAUGAAGGUCUUCGGAUCGUAAACCUCUGUCAGCAGGGAAGAACGGUCACUGUGCUAAUCAGCAGUGAAUUGACGGUACCUGCAAAGGAAGCACCGGCUAACUCCGUGCCAGCAGCCGCGGUAAUACGGAGGGUGCGAGCGUUAAUCGGAAUUACUGGGCGUAAAGCGCUCGUAGGCGGUAUGUCAAGUCAAGGGUGAAAUCCCCGCGCUCAACGUGGGAACUGCCUUUGAAACUGGCAAACUGGAGUGGGUGAGAGGCUAGUGGAAUGCCAGGUGUAGGAGUGAAAUGCGUAGAUAUCUGGAGGAACAUCAGUGGCGAAGGCGACUAUCUGGCACAUAACUGACGCUGAGGAGCGAAAGCGUGGGUAGCAAACAGGAUUAGAUACCCUUGUAGUC
rnacentral:rRNA from 1 species